UUUAGAAUAGUUUACCUUUGUAUUGAGCUGACAGUGUUUACCAUCAUGGCGAUGCUUGCCCUUCUAUUCGGGCUCUGUUCGAUUAUUGGAGUGUAUUCCAACAUCUACAUAGAUGUUACGCAUUCUAAAAUAGUCCAACGGAUUGAUUAUAAAUUUGUUGGAAGUAUUUUAGACUGUGGUAUGAUUAAACAUAAUUGGGGUACUUUCGAUUUCAAUUCGGCAAAAAUGUUAGCUCUUGCUAAAGGAUUGGGUCCAAGUUAUUUACGAGUUGGUGGAACGGAUGCUGAUUAUAUGGUAUUCACGAGAAACAACAAUGCCAGAAAUAAACGAUUUAUCUUGGGUCCCAGUACGAAAGGACAUCCUAACUUUUACAUAAUGGCCAGUGAUUGGGAUAAAUUAAAUCAUUUUAUACAAACGGUUGGAUGGGAUCUGAUAUAUGAUCUGAAUAUUGCUCCCCGUAAAAAUGGUAAAUGGGAUCCGACCAAUACUAUUGAUCUCUUAAAAUAUACAGCUGAAAAGGGUUAUAAAGUUUAUGGUUUGGAACUCGGCAAUG